UCAAAUCUCAAGCCUUGCUUGGUAUUGGGUUUUCGUCUCCUACCUUUGUAUAUUAUACAAUAUACAGGUAGUGGCGUGCCUGAAAAUCAUUAGCGGUGCCUCAAUGGACUCAAGUGUAGCAGACUGACUCACUUUGGAGGACUUUUGCAGGCACUGUCGACAAAAUAAUAAA
rnacentral:misc_RNA from 1 species